GACGAACGCUGGCGGCGUGCCUAAUACAUGCAAGUAGAACGCACAGUUUAUACCGUAGCUUGCUACACCAUAGACUGUGAGUUGCGAACGGGUGAGUAACGCGUAGGUAACCUGCCUGGUAGCGGGGGAUAACUAUUGGAAACGAUAGCUAAUACCGCAUAAUAUUAAUUAUUGCAUGAUAAUUAAUUGAAAGGUGCAAUUGCACCACUACCAGAUGGACCUGCGUUGUAUUAGCUAGUAGGUGAGGUAACGGCUCACCUAGGCGACGAUACAUAGCCGACCUGAGAGAGUGAUCGGCCACACUGGGACUGAGACACGGCCCAGACUCCUACGGGAGGCAGCAGUAGGGAAUCUUCGGCAAUGGACGAAAGUCUGACCGAGCAACGCCGCGUGAGUGAAGAAGGUUGUCGGAUCGUAAAGCUCUGUUGUAAGAGAAGAACGGGUGUGAGAGUGGAAAGUUCACACUGUGACGGUAUCUUACCAGAAAGGGACGGCUAACUACGUG
rnacentral:rRNA from 1 species